AUUUCAAUAGCUUAUUAAGAGUAUGAUAUUGAAGAUAUCAUGGAGGCACAGGUGCCUUGGAAUA
rnacentral:tRNA from 1 species